GUAGCCGUCAAUUCACACCUGUCGACCUCGACAAGUCUCCUACAGGCAGUGUCUGUCUGAAACCUGGAUCCGUCCUGCGUUUAAGGUUUCCCCAAAACUAAUGCCCAAGACUGCCAAACCACCAGGCUCAGCAGAAGAUGCAGCCGGGAGAAUUCAAGAUCUUAGAUUGAGUAGUGACUAGAGACGCAGCCUGACAGACAGAGAGCUCGGGGGCUCUGCAAACCGAGGAGAACCGGAAUCCUUCAAAGAGAGCCGAGGGUGUGUCGCCCUUUCAAUACCAUCGGGGAUCAAACCCAGAACUUUUAAUUAAAAACUAAAAAUUUCAGUUGUAAGAUAAUUCAUGCACAGUGUUUAGUUUAUGUAGCGACAUGGUUUGUUUCUUGUCGUUUCCCCCCUUUUCCACGGCGUUCCAAGUGAAGGUGACCGUGAAGGAUGAAGGCGAGGAAGAAGAUAUCCCCUGGGUGAGGGGACGCCGAGAGGAAAGCAAGGAGCAGGAGGACCGAAAGCGCCCAGUUAGCUCUGCCGCUGCUGGCCCCCCAUCCAACGUUAGCGCUCUCUCGGAAACGCCCUCUCCUCGGCCUCGGGAAGGAGGAUGUACAGGAAGAGACAGGGACGACCGUGAAUGACGAGGAGACGCUUUUCACUGGCCGGACUCUGGCGCCCCCUAGUGCUCUGCGUGUGAACCGCAUGUAGAGGUGGCGCGGGGAUACGGAGAGGAGGAAGAUGACAUGUUCCAGUGGCGGUCGGACUUCGGAGGAGGCGGCAUCUUCGUUCCGUCUCCACGGUAACAACGAUUCCACGACGGCUCUGACAUCAUCCGGUUCUAACCGAGGCGGGAGAAUAGCGUCGAAGUAGGGUAAACAAACUUUUGGAUCACAAUUUUCCCACUGAACCUCAGACUGUUCAACAAAUCUGUUGACUUUUACUUUGUACACACAAGACUGGAAAGGCUGGCUGUCACCUCCGACACAUUCUCUGAUUCGACAGGUUCGCCGUGAGUGGAUAUUUAAUCUGUCAACCGUUCGGCCCAAACUCUCGACUGAGCUGCAAUGCCAGACAAUAAUAGGCCUAAUACUGUCACUCAAAAUGAGGGUCUAUCUGUCGGAUGUCUGUUUAAUGGACUUGGGGAUUUGGGACCAAACUUGUCAGAACUCAAGAAUGCACACACACACACACACACACACACACUAAAGCAUCUGUGCGCACACAUAUUAACAAUUUCUGAAGUCAUAAAUACAGUUGAUAACAAUGUUUAUCACAUUGAUAGGGUUCUGUUCAACAUUGUCGUUGACAUAGUUACAUUGUAACUCCAAUGUAACGUCUUAUUGAUUUAUUAGAGUUGUGCUAUGCAGAAAAGGCCACAAGGUGGCAGUAUGUGCGAAAGUCUGAGAGCAGCGCUCUGAGUUUCCAAGUAAACAAUUAAUUUAAUUGAAAUAUCAAUUUGUGUUUUUGAUAACGUUUACCGCAUUGCAAUCGGAAUAUAUACUGCUAAAGUAUAUGGGUUUAUUGUAAAAAGAAAAAGUCUCACUCAAUUAACUUUGUCAUAAACAUUUUUAUGUUUCCCCAAUCUCGGAGAUGAGUAACAAAAAUACAGUUGUUCAAUAAUGUUCAUUUACAUAUUCAUGAGCAUGUACAAGUGAGAGCAGUCGAACAAAAAGUGCUUCUUUUUUUUUAAACAAGGAAUCAUCUUUGAAUAAUCACGUCAUCAUUGGUAAACCAACUAAAAAGAAAAAAGGUUCAUCUGAAUGGAAAACAAUCCGUCCAGAUAAAAAAGUUGAGUCUCAGACGAGAGGAAUCAAACACAUUUCCGUUAGUGGAUCGUAAAACAAAUUUGUGUUAAAAAUAAUCAUCAACUGCUGUGUUUUUGUGAUCCCCAGAUGGCGAGCUGAAUACCUCAGACAGUCAAUAAGUCAAAACAGGUCUUAAAUCCAUUACAUUUUGCACAAUGCUUUGUAUGGCACGAGAGCCAUCCUCUGCUGAAACAUUUCCUUGUAGGGCGAAGUCUGGGCCAGUACAACACUAGAUGAGGUCGCCGUUUAUCCACGUUGGACAAGAUGAAACCCCCCUCCGACUCAUAUUAAACACAAUUUCACGAGGGGAGAACUAUUAGGUAAACCUAAUAAAUAAAACUAAUAUUUCCAGAAUUAACGUAAUCUCACACGCACGCACACAAUCACUGUGCAGACAUGACUGGGAGCCCCUAACCUAUGUUUUGUUAUAUUUGAUGGUGCAUAACAAGAAUAGUUCCAAUAUCGUUUUGUUGCCUCCAAUUAAUCUUUUUGCUCAUGUGAAAGAACACGCUGAACCAAAAGGAAAUCCAAUUAGUACACAAAGAGCCUCACUGCGCUCAUUUACGUGUUCAUCGUCUCCCCGCCUGCCAACAGGUUUUAGAGGCUGGGGGGGAGGCAGGUUAAGAGGGUAGAGGUCAUGCCAGGGUAUAUAAUCUAAAUCAAAGCAAUGUACACAGAAGCCUUUAUAUAGCCUUCAUAUCGGGGCCUUAAGCCCCAGUGGGCGUUGUAUGGUUGCCAGUCAUUGUUUGACCCCGCCCACCUGGCGCGACUAGAGCUAUGAAAGAAGGUCAAGUUAAUUGAAGCAGGAUUUUGAGGAGGGGGGGGGGGGGUUACCUUGAAUUUUUUAAAGAUCUGGCAAGGGGUCCCAGAACGGAUUAACCAACUCAUGAGGGUCAGUGGAGAGAGGAAAUUAAAAGUCGUGGGAGGAUUCAAACUAUUGGAUGGACGCGUGAAGAAAUUGAGUGGCAACAAAAUGCCACCCCCUCAUGACAAACUAACAAAGCCUCCGUUUAGUAGGCCUAAUGCUUAAAUAACAUUAGUUAAAGAAAGAAAAUGAUUAGUGGAAAAUAAAAAUGUCUUUCUCAGAGCGACCUCAACAGUAGAUUGUCUGUUUAUCUUUGGAACAAGGUGAGGUCAGCUUAAGAAACCCUGACUAAAUCAACCCUGUCCUCCGUCAAGCUUUCCUCGAGUGUCAUGGCCGUUUAAACCUUUCAUUAAAUAGACAAACAAGAACGCUAAGAAAAGGAGAAGAUAGAGUUGCGUGUGUAUGUGUGUGCGUGCGUCUGUGUGUGUGUGUGUAAGCUGUGAUGUCUGUCUCUAAAUAAAUGCAUGAGGACUGGCAUGCGCUUUUUUUCUUUCAAUGGAUGAGUCACACACACACACACACACACACACACACACACACACACACACACACACACACACACACACACACACACACACACACACACACACACACACACACACACACACACACACACACACACACACACA